GGGAAUUUUGCGCAAUGGGGGAAACCCUGACGCAGCAACGCCGCGUGAAGGAUGAAGGCCUUUGGGUCGUAAACUUCUGUCAGUGGGGAAGAAAUGCCAGCAAUGGUGAUGACGGUACCCGCAAAGGAAGCAC
rnacentral:rRNA from 1 species